rnacentral:rRNA from 1 species
AUAUCGGAACAUGUCCGGAAGUGGGGGAUAACGUAGCGAAAGUUACGUUAAUACCGCAUAUGCCCUGAGGGGGGAAGGGGGGGAUCGCAAGACCUCUCGCUUUCGGAGUGGCCGAUAUCGGAUUAGCUAGUUGGUGAGAUAAAGGCUCACCAAGGCGACGAUCCGUAGCUGGUCUGAGAGGACGACCAGCCACACUGGAACUGAGACACGGUCCAGACUCCUACGGGAGGCAGCAGUGGGGAAUUUUGGACAAUGGGCGCAAGCCUGAUCCAGCCAUACCGCGUGAGUGAAGAAGGCCUUCGGGUUGUAAAGCUCUUUCAGCCGGAAAGAAAUCGUGCAGAUUAAUACUCUGUAUGGAUGACGGUACCGGAAGAAGAAGCACCGGCUAACUACGUGCCAGCAGCCGCGGUAAUACGUAGGGUGCGAGCGUUAAUCGGAAUUACUGGGCGUAAAGCGUGCGCAGGCGGUUUGGUAAGACAGACGUGAAAUCCCCGGGCUUAAUCUGGGAACUGCGUUUGUGACUGUCAGACUAGAGUGUAGCAGAGGGGGGUAGAAUUCCACGUGUAGCAGUGAAAUGCGUAGAUAUGUGGAGGAAUACCAAUGGCGAAGGCAGCCCCCUGGGUUAACACUGACGCUCAUGCACGAAAGCGUGGGGAGCAAAAAGGAUUAGAUACCCUGGUAGUCCACGCCCUAAACGAUGUCAACUAGGCGUUGGGGAAGGGGACUCCUUUAGUACCGCAGCUAACGCGUGAAGUUGACCGCCUGGGGAGUACGGUCGCAAGAUUAAAACUCAAAGGAAUUGACGGGGACCCGCACAAGCGGUGGAUUAUGUGGAUUAAUUCGAUGCAACGCGAAAAACCUUACCUACCCUUGACAUGUCAGGAAGUUUCCAGAG